CCCAGGCUGCAUCUGUUCUGGCUUGUGGUGUAAACAUUGGAGAAAGAUUAGUAGGAGUUAUUACACCUCAUUGUACUUUCCGCAAGGCUUGCUGGUGGUGCUGUGGUUGUCACUACAUGGAUGGUCCUUCGCAAAAGCAACAGUCUGGAAGAAUUUGUCAAUGCCUUCAACGAAGCUGUUCUUCCAUUUGGCAAUUUCUUACGUGCAAUUAGUGAAGGAUCGAGCCGAUUAACAAUUCAAGCAGAAAAUGUUUCCGAUCUUGACGCAUUGUGGCAAAGUUAUCAAGAUGAAACGCCGCAGACAAACAUACAGGACUUCCUGGUUACUGAGGAAAUAAAGUAGCUGGCAGGUGAUGAAGUGAUGUUGACUGUGCACAUCGACAAGGAUGAAUACAGAAAUGCCAAGUUGGAUUUGCUGAUAUCAGAAACAGAAGAUAAAUUUUUAGAAAUGAAACUUCAAGAAAAGAGAGGACUAAAAGGUCGAUUAAGUUCUGAUUCA